UACGGAAGGCAGCAGUGAGGAAUAUUGGUCAAUGGGUGCAAGCCUGAACCAGCCAUCCCGCGUGAAGGACGACUGCCCUAUGGGUUGUAAACUUCUUUUGUAUAGGGAUAAACCUACCCUCGUGAGGGUAGCUGAAGGUACUAUACGAAUAAGCACCGGCUAACUCCGUGCCAGCAGCCGCGGUAAUACGGAGGGUGCAAGCGUUAUCCGGAUUUAUUGGGUUUAAAGGGUCCGUAGGCGGACUUAUAAGUCAGUGGUGAAAGCCUGUCGCUUAACGAUAGAACUGCCAUUGAUACUGUAAAGUCUUUGAGUAUAUUUUGAGGUAGCUGGAAUAAGUAGUGUAGCGGUGAAAUGCAUAGAUAUUACUUAGAACACCAAUUGCGAAAGGCAGGUUACCAAGAUAUAACUGACGCUGAGGGGCGAAAGCGUGGGGAGCGAACAGGGAUUAGAUACC
rnacentral:rRNA from 1 species